rnacentral:lncRNA from 1 species
GGACAGCAGACAUUUACUGAUGCUUGCCUGACUCAAUGAUGUUGAGGACGUAACUUCCCCUCCCUUUGAAGCCUUGGUUCUCUGUAAUUCCUCUGGAACUCAAAUACCAUCCCAGACAAAAUGGGAAGAGCCCACAUCCCCCCAAAUUAACUGAAAUUAGAUUUCUGCUACCCCAGGAGAAUAGAGGCUCCAAAAAGAAAUUCAGGUCAGUUUUGAGAUAUUAGAAAAAGUAUCUUUCCUUAUACAUUUGAACUUGUGAAUUGGGAUUCACCACCACUUCACAAAUAUUUGCUUUUAUUUGUCUAUUUUCAAGAUAAAUGUUGGCAUUUUUGUGGUAUACUAUGAAAUGAGUUUUCAGAGAUAGAACCUUCAUUUGUAACUUUGCCACUUAGUGUCAGGGCAGCUGUGUAUCAAGGUUAUUACAGUGGCUGGCUAUAGGCAGGAUGUUUGUAGAACUUAAGAAAUAUAAUCUAAAAUGAUGUCAAAGAAUAAAAGUCCCCAAAUAGCUGUCAAAUUUGAAAAAUAAGAGCAAAGAGAGAGAACACAGUUCAUCAGGCAGAGGAUAUGAUAACAUAUGGCAAAGCCUUGGGUAGUUCCUGUGCAGGAAUAAGCAAAUAAGUACAUGGAAAGAAGAGGGGCCCCGGAAACAGACACCUGUAUAUGGGAGCCUGGUCUGUGCAGGGCAGCCCCAAACAACUGGGAGAAGAAUGGACUGUUUUUUUAGGUGGCAUUGGAAACACUCACUCUUACAGAAAAAAAAGUCAAAUCCCUACUUCUUGCCCUUAUACAAAGGUAAACCCCAUUUAGAUUUAAGACCUCCAUUUGAAAGGUGAAACCAUAAAGUUAAUAGGAGAAAUUGUUGAAACAUAUCUUCUCAACUUGAGGAGAGCCAAAAACUUCUUAAAUGAGACCCUCAAAACCUCUCUUCUUAGGGAAAAAAAUUAAUGCUUUUGAUAAUAUCAAUAUUAAAGAUUUUGUUAAAUGAUCUUCAUUGAUGAUGUUAAUUAAUAGAUGACAGAUUUUUAGGUAUUUUUUAUGAUGUCAAAAAUUAUUGGGUCAAGUGGGGAAUGUUGAAUAUGAACCCUAAGUUAGACAUUGGUGUUCUAUAAAUGUUAAAUUUAUUGAGCGAGAGAAUUUUCUAUGGUUUAUAUAGGAGAAUGUCCUUGUUCUUAGGAGAUUUAUACUGAAAUAUUUAGUGAAGUGUCUGUCAGCAACUUAUUUUCAAAUGUUUCAGCAAAAUAUUUUUAUAUACCCAUAUCUAUACUUAUAUUGUAGAGAGAGAUAAGGCAGAUGUGGAAUAACAUGAACAAUUAGAAAAUCUACUAUGAUAAUUUUGUUAGUUUGAAAUAUUUUGAAAUAAAAAGUUAGCGAAGACAGCAAUAAAGUAACAUUCUGAAUAUACAAGGAACUUUUGGAAAUCAAUAAUAAAAAGAUGAAGACCAAUAUAGGAAAAUGAACAAAGGACACAGCAGGCCUUUUACAGAAGGGGAACCUGAUUGUAAUAAGUACUUGAAGGAGUGUUCAAUGUCAUUGCUAAUCACAGAAAGGAAGAAAAAUAAAGCCAAAAUGAGAUACACACUUUACACCCAUCAGAUUGAUGAAUAUAGCUAAGUUAUGCCCAGUGUUGGGGAGGUCAAGGGGAACCAGAGGCCAUGAUUAUUCUAGUCUAGAGGUCUUAAAGGGCAGUCUGGCAGUGCAGAAUGAAACAGGGCAUAGCUGUACCUUAGGACCUAACCAUCGGCUCUUGAAUGCCAGAGAACUUCCCUGGGACACCUGUACUAAGAUGGUCAUCAUCACAUUGCUUCUAUUAGGGAGGAAGUGAAGCCACCUAAGGUCUAUCCCCAAGGGAUUGGAUCAGGUAAACACCCACUAGUUUGUGUCUACUUCCUACCCACGCCUUAGUAGGAUUGGAUCCAGAGCUUCUGCAAGACCUCAGAGAGAGGGGCCAGAAACAGGAGAAUUGGGGGGAACCUCUGGGAGGAUUCAGGACUCAAGGGUCUAGAAUUAGUUUGAACUGAGGAAAAUAAAUACAAUUACAUUUAUUGUGUGUUUAAAUUUAUGAGUAGAGAUUUACUCCUGCUACAGCUAUUAGGCUCCCUAACUCCCCAGGAGCCAAAUGGAAAGAUAAUGCUUAAGCCAAAAGGAUUGAAUCCAUAAUGGAGAAAUUUUAGGCUGGACAGUCUAAAGGGGGGAUAUUUCUGUAUGGUGGUAGUAGGAAGCCAUGGUGCAGCAUGUUUGAGAUUUUAUGCAUCGCCUGAAAAAGAUUUUCAGAAAUUCAGAGCUUCUUUUUCUUCAGAGAAAAGUAUAACUGUAUCCUAAAAAUAAAUAUCCACUGUUUAGAUGGAUACUAGCAACAUCUGAGAAGUGUCUGUGAAGGUCUUUUUGGGGAAGAAAAAUAAAUCUGUGUUCAUUUAUUGUGCAGAAAAAAAAUUCCCUAAAGUUUUUAAAGAUUAAUGCUUUUUGCAGGUGUUGAUUGUUAUCUCAUAGGCCUCAAAGGAAUUUAAACUCCAAUGCCGCCUUCUCUCUUGAUGUAAAGCAAGGGCCUGAUAUUGAACUUGCUAUAACCAAGGGUGAGGAUACAGUUUUCUCUGUCUAGCAUCAAAGGAGUCUUUGCUUGCUGAAUUUAUGGAGGGACAAAACCUUGGAAAGAGCAGUGAGCAUCUUCUGAAAAGAACCUGUUCUAGUCCCCCUGUCCCAGGGCCCCAGGCUCCUAGGCAGAGGGCCAGGGUGGGAGGAAGAAAUGAACUUGGAUUGAGCUGAUAUCACGUGUCAGAGCCUUGGGUAGGCAUCUUAUAUAGUCUGGUUUGUAUUUCUCACACUUCCCCUCAUGAAGUAGGCAUUAUCCCCUCCCCGCCCACCAGCUUAUGGAUAAGGACACUGAGAUCCAGAGGUAUUAAAGCAUCUGGCCCAGGGUUACACAGCUAGUUCAUGAGCAUGCUAGGAUUCCAACCCCAGGUGGAAUUUCUACCACACUGGGCUGCCACACUCCAACAAAAACUGGAAAGUAUUUUGAAGCUUUAUAGCAGGCCUGAAGAGGGCUCCAGCUAGGAGUUCGUCUUAAAGAUGCCCCCAACCCUUCUUAAGAUACUUUGGCAUUCUGACGCAGUCAGCAGAAAAGAGCUGCGGGAACAAUUACUGCCCCAAAUUGAGUCUGUAAAUUUCAGGUCAUUCAGAUCUCCAUUCCAUAUGCAGACUUUAUUAAUACCCCAGCUUCAGGUUCAAAAUGUCAGGUUC